GGGCGGGUAGCGUAGUGGUAAAGCGUUCUCCAAGCGUCUUCAGCGUUGAUUUGAGUUUCUCUCGAGCGUUUAGCGAAAGAUCCGGGUUCGAGUCCCGACCCGCCCA